rnacentral:rRNA from 1 species
AAUGGGGGCAACCCUGAUCCAGCGACGCCGCGUGAAGGAUGAAGGUCUUCGGAUUGUAAACUUCUUUUGUUCGGGAAUAAAAAAUCUGUGGAAACACGGAGAUUGAAGGUACCGAACGAAUAAGCCACGGCUAACUUCGUGCCAGCAGCCGCGGUAAUACGAAGGUGGCAAGCGUUACUCGGAAUUACUAGGCGUAAAGGGCAGGUAGGUGGUUUGAUAAGUCUGUUGUGUAAGCUCCCGGCUUAACUGGGAGAGNUCAACAGAAGCUGUCAGGCUUGAGUAUAGGAGAGGGUACUGGAAUUCCCGGUGUAGCGGUGAAAUGCGCAGAGAUCGGGAGGAACACCAAUGGCGAAAGCAGGUACCUGGACUAUUACUGACACUCAGCUGCGAAAGCUAGGGGAGCAAA